rnacentral:lncRNA from 1 species
GCGAAUGAUUCGAACUCAAUGAAAUGUAGCUAGGAGGAGUAACAGUCAAAGUAGCUCGUAGGCUUAAUGGUCGAGUGAGUGAUUGCUCCAACUCAAAAUAAAGGUAGCCCUUAGGAUUGGCAGGCGUGCGAAUGGUUCGAACUCGAUGCAAUGUAGCCCAUAGGCGUAAUAGUCAAAGUAGCUUGUAGGCUUAAUGGCCGAGUGAGUGAUUGCUCGAACUCGAAAUAAAAGUAGCCCGUAGGCUUGGCAGUCGAGCGAAUGAUUCGAACUCGAUGCAAUGUAGCCCGUAGGCGUAAUAGUCAAAGUAGCCCAUAGGCUUAAUGGUUGAGUGAGUGUUUGCUCGAACCCGAAAUAAAGGUAGCCCGUAGGCUUGGCAGUCGAGCGAAUGAUUAGAACUCGAUGCAAUGUAGCCCGUAGGAGUAACAGUCAAAGUAGCCCGUAGGCUUAAUGGUCGAGUGAGUGAUUGCUCGAACUCGAAAUAAAGGUAGCCUGUAGGCUACGCAGUCGAGCGAAUGAUUCGAACUCGAUGCAAUGUAGCCCGUAGGAGUAAUAGUCAAAGUAGCCCGUAGGCUUAAUGGUCGAGUGAGUGAUUGCUCGAACUCGAGAUAAAGGUAGCCCGUAGGCUUGGUAGUCGAAUGAAUGAUUAGAACUCGAUGCAAUGUAGCCCGUAAGCGUAAUAGUCAAAGUAGCCCAUAGGCUUAAUGGUCGAGUGAGUGUUUGCUCGAAUCCGAAAUAAAGGUAGCCCGUAGGCUUGGCAGUCGAGCGAAUGAUUCGAACUCGAUGCAAUGUAGCCCGUAUGAGUAAUAGUCAAACUAGCCCGUAGGCUUAAUGGUCGAGUGAGUGAUUGCUUGAACUCGAAAUAAAGGUAGCCCGUAGGAUUGGCAGUCGAGCGAAUGAUUCGAACUCGAUGCAAUGUAGCCUGUAGGAGUAAUAGUCAAAGUAGCCCGUAGGCUUAAUGGUCGAGUGAGUGAUUGCUCGAACUCGAAAUAAAGGUAGCCUGUAGGCUUGGCAGUCGAACGAAUGAUUAGAAGUUGAUGCAAUGUAGCCCGUAGGCGUAAUAGUCAAAGUAGCCCCUAGGCUUAAUGGUCGAGUGAUUGAUUGCUCGAACUCGAAAUAAAGGUAGCCCAUAGGCUUGGCAGUCGAGCGAAUGAUUCGAACUCGAUGCAAUGUAGCGCGAAGGAGUAACAGUCAAAGUAGCCCGUAGGCUUAAUAGUCGAGUGAGUGAUUGCUCGAACUCGAAAUAAAGGUAGUCUGUAGGCUUGUCAGUCAAGCGAAUGAUUCGAAUUCGAUGCAAUGUAGCCCGUAGGAGUAACAGUCAAAGUAGCCCGUAGGCUUAAUGAUCGAGUGAGUGAUUGCUCGAACUCGAAAUAAAGGUAGCCCGUAGGCUUGGCAGUCGAGCGAAUGAUUCGAACUAGAUGCAAUGUAGCCCGUAGGCGUAAUAGUCAAAGUAGCCCGUAGGCUUAAUGGUCGAGUGAGUGUUUGCUCGAACCCGAAAUAAAGGUAGCGCGUAGGCUUGGCAGUCGAGCGAAUGAUUCGAACUCGAUGAAAUGUAGCACAUAGGAGUAACAGUCAAAGUAGCCCGUAGGCUUAAUGAUCGAGUGAGUGAUUGCUCGAACUCGAAAUAAAGGUAGCCCGUAGGCUUGGCAGUUGAGUGAAUGAUUAGAACUUGAUGCAAUGUAGCACGUAGGCGUAACAGUCAAAGUAGCCCGUAAGCUUAAUGGUCGAGUGAGUGAUUGCUCGAACUCGAAAUAAAGGUAGCCCGUAGGCUUGGCAGUCAAACGAAUGAUUAGAACUCGAUGCAAUGUAGCCCGUAGGCGUAAUAGUCAAAGUAGCCCGUAGGCUUAAUGGUCGAGUGAGUGAUUGUUCGAACUCGAGAUAAAGGUAGCUCGUAGGCUUGGUAGUCGAAUGAAUGAUUAGAACUCGAUGCAAUGUAGCCCGUGGGCGUAAUAGUCAAAGUAGCCCGUAGGCUUAAUGGUCGAGUGAGUGAUUUCUUAAACUCAAAAUAAAGGUAGCCCGUAGGCUUGGCUGUCGAGCGAAUGAUUAGAACUUAAUGCAAUGUAGCCCGUAGGCGAAAUAGUCAAAGUAGCCCGUAGGCUUAAUAGUCGAGUGAGUGAUUGCUCGAACUCGAAAUAAAGGUAGUCUGUAGGCUUGUCAGUCGAGCGAAUGAUUCGAACUCGAUGCAAUGUAGCCCAUAGGCAUAAUAGUCAAAGUAGCCCGUGGGCUUAAUGGUCGAGUAGUGAUGGCUCGAACUCGAAAAAAAGGUAGCCCAUAGGCUUGGCAGUCGAGCGAAUGUUUAGAACUCGAUGCAAUGUAGCCCGUAGGCAUAAUAGUCAAAGUAGCCUAUAGGCUUAAUGGUCGAGUGAGUGUUUGCUCGAAUCCGAAAUAAAGGUAGCCCGUAGGCUUGGCAGUCGAGCGAAUGUUUCGAACUCGAUGCAAUGUAGCCCAUAGGUUUAAUAGUCAAAGUAGCCCAUAGGCUUAAUGGUCGAGAGAGUGUUUGCUCGAACCCGAAAUAAAGGUAGCCCGUAGGCUUGGCAGUCGAGCGAAUGAUUAGAACUCGAUGCAAUGUAGCCCAUAGGCGUAACAAUCAAAGUAGCCCGUAGGCUUAAUGGUCAAGUGAGUGAUUGCUCGAACUCGAAAUAAAGGUAGCCCGUAGGCUUGGCAGUCGAGCGAAUGAUUCAAACCUGAUGCAAUGUAGCCCGUAGGUGUAAUAGUCAAAGUAGCCCGUAGGCUUAAUGGUCGAGAGAGUAUUUGCUAGAACCCGAAAUAAAGGUAGCCCGUAGGCUUGGCAGUCGAGCGAAUGAUUAGAACUCGAUGCAAUGUAGCCCGCAGGCGUAAUAGUCAAAGUAGCCCGUAGGCUUAAUGGUCGAGUGAGUGUUUGCUCGAACCCAAAAUAAAGGUAGCCCGUAGGCUUGGCAGUCGAGCGAAUGAUUCGAACUCGAUGCA